AGCCUGAACGCUGGCGGCGUGGCUAAGACAUGCAAGUCGCACGGAGGUAGCAAUACCUUAGUGGCGAACGGGUGAGUAAAGUAUCGCUAACGUACCCUUCAGUCCGGGAUAGCCAGGGGAAACUCUGGGUAAUACCGGGUGACAUUCUCUUUUCGCAUGAUGAGAGACUCAAAGGAGCAAUCCGCUGAAGGAGCGGGCGAUAUCGUAUCAGCUAGUUGGUGAGGUAACGGCUCACCAAGGCUAUGACGCGUGGCCGGACUGAGAGGUCGGACGGCCACAUUGGGACUGAGACACUGCCCAGACUCCUACGGGGGGCUGCAGUAACGAAUCUUCCGCAAUGCACGCAAGUGUGACGGAGCGACGCCGCGUGUGGGACGAAGUCCUUCGGGAUGUAAACCACUGUCAGGGGUUACCAAGUUCUGAGGAGCCCCAGAGGAAGGCACGGCUAACUCUGUGCCAGCAGCCGC
rnacentral:rRNA from 1 species